CCUACGGGUGGCUGCAGUGGGGAAUAUUGCACAAUGGGGGAAACCCUGAUCCAGCGACGCCGCGUGAGUGAAGAAGUAUUUCGUUAUGUAAAGCUCUAUCAGCAGGGAAGAAAAUAAUGGUGCUUGAGUAAGAAGACGCGGCUAAAUACGUGCCAGCAGCCGCGGUAAUACGUAGGGGGCAGGCGUUAUCCGGAUUUACUGGGUGUAAUGGGAGCGUAGUCGGCGUUGCAAGUCUGAAGUGAAAGGCUACGGCUCAACCCCCGAACUGCUUUGGAAACUGUAUUUCUAGAGUGCGGGAGAGGUAGGUGGAAUUCCUAGUGUAGCGGUGAAAUGCGUAGAUAUUAAGAGGAACACCAAUGGCGAAGGCGACUUGCUGGACCGUAACUGACGUUGAGGCGCGAAAGCGUGGGGAGCAAACAGGAUUAGAUACCCUAGUAGUC
rnacentral:rRNA from 1 species